UGCCCGAAGGGUGACGAUGCGACGCCGCGUGAGCGAAGAAGGCCCUAGGGUUGUAAAGCUCUGUCAGGGGUUAAGAAAUGUAGAUAGGUUAAUACCCUGUUUAUUUGACAAAAGCCCCAAAGGAAGCCACGGCUAACUCUGUGCCAGCAGCCGCGGUAAUACAGAGGUGGCAAGCGUUGUUCGGUAUUAUUGGGCGUAAAGAGCACGUAGGUGGUUUUGUAAGUCAGAUGUGAAAGCCUUCUGUUCAAAGGAAGAACGGCAUCUGAAACUGCAAAUCUUGAGUGUAGGAGGGGAGAGUGGAACUUCUGGUGGAGCGGUGAAAUGCGUAGAUAUCAGAAGGAACGUCAGCGGCGAAAGCGACUCUCUGGCCUAUUACUGACACUGAGUGUGCGAAAGUUAGGGGAGCAAACGGGAUUAGAUACCCCGGUAGUCCUAACCGUAAACGAUGGGCACUAAGUAGAGGGGU
rnacentral:rRNA from 1 species